rnacentral:sRNA from 1 species
ACCAAACAGCGUAUGCCCAAUACAAUGGUGGAAAAUAUUUGUUUGUAUCUGACCAGGGCAGUGGACUGGCUGUACCUGAUGAUGACCAAUUCUGGAUUGAUCUGUUUAAUAUGACACAACGUUGGGGUCCUUUUAUAAUGUAUGAACAGGACUGGCUGCAAAAAGAAACGGACGAGAACAAAAUCAUCCUCACUGACCUGGAUAUCG